UGGUGGAGUGAUUUGUCUGGUUAAUUCCGAUAACGAACGAGACCUCCGCCUGCUAAAUAGCGCGGCUUGGCUUUGCCAGGUCAGCGCUUCUUAGAGGGACUGUGGGUGUUUAGCCCACGGAAGUUGGAGGCAAUAACA
rnacentral:rRNA from 1 species